CACGUAGGGUGCGAGCGUUGUCCGGAAUUAUUGGGCGUAAAGAGCUCGUAGGCGGUGUGUCGCGUCGGCCGUGAAAACCUGUGGCUUAACCAUGGGCUUGCGGUCGAUACGGGCAUCACUGGAGUUCGGCAGGGGAGACUGGAAUUCCUGGUGUAGCGGUGAAAUACGUAGAUAUCUGGAGGAACACCGGUGGCGAAGGCGGCGAUCUGGCCCAACAUUGACACUGAGACCCGAAAGCGUGGGGAUCAAACAGG
rnacentral:rRNA from 1 species